GCUUAGAGUUUGAUCCUGGCUCAGGAUGAACGCUGGCGGUAUGCUUAACACAUGCAAGUCGAACGGAGUACUUCGGUACUUAGUGGCGGACGGGUGAGUAACGCGUGAGAAUCUGCCUUCAGGAUGGGGAUAACAGUGGGAAACCAUUGCUAAUACCCAAUGAGCCGAGAGGUAAAAAAUUUAUUGCCUGAAGAGGAGCUCGCGUCCGAUUAGUUAGUUGGUGGGGUAAAGGCUUACCAAGACGGCGAUCGGUAGCUGGUCUGAGAGGAUGAGCAGCCACACUGGGACUGAGACACGGCCCAGACUCCUACGGGAGGCAGCAGUGGGGAAUUUUCCGCAAUGGGCGCAAGCCUGACGGAGCAAUACCGCGUGAGGGAGGAAGGCCUUUGGGUUGUAAACCUCUUUUCUUAAGGAAGAAGAUCUGACGGUACUUAAGGAAUCAGCAUCGGCUAACUCCGUGCCAGCAGCCGCGGUAAUACGGAGGAUGCAAGCGUUAUCCGGAAUUAUUGGGCGUAAAGCGUCCGCAGGCGGCACUAUAAGUCUGCUGUCAAAGACCGCAGCUCAACUGCGGAAAGGCAGUGGAAACUGUAGAGCUAGAGUACGGUAGGGGUAGAGGGAAUUCCCAGUGUAGCGGUGAAAUGCGUAGAGAUUGGGAAGAACACCAGUGGCGAAAGCGCUCUACUGGGCCGUAACUGACGCUCAGGGACGAAAGCUAGGGGAGCGAAAGGGAUUAGAUACCCCUGUAGUCCUAGCUGUAAACGAUGGAUACUAGGCGUAGCUUGUAUCGACCCGAGCUGUGCCGAAGCUAACGCGUUAAGUAUCCCGCCUGGGGGAGUA
rnacentral:rRNA from 1 species